GACGGCAGGGACAUGGGGGCUGCAGCUCACAGUGAAGCUAUCCGUGCCCACCAUGGGUCUCACCUCCUCCUUCUGUGAGUGUCUGUCCGGUGGCUGUCGGGGAGGGUCUCCAGCACUUGUGCUGCCCCUGGGACCCUCACUGACCCUGGGCUCCUGGUCUGCCCACCCCUUCGAUUCCCCUGGAGUCACACAUUGGCACCAGAGUCAGGAAUGGGCUCUGCAUUUCCCCCUCUGUGGGCCUCGUCUGGCUCCCACAGCCCAUGUAUCAGCGAACUACUUGGGGGUCACAUAGGACCCUCCCCUCCCUGCUGAGCUGGCAGUUCAUGCCCCGUGGGUAGGAGGAAGGGCAGAGGGAGAGCUCCAGGGGUGGGCUCCAGUGUGCUCCCUCAGGCUUCUCACUUUGGGCAAAGGACACAGGGCAUGAGGGCCUCUCCCUGCGGUCUGGACCAAGCUGACCUGGGUCUUUACCAGUCAGGAAAAUAAAAUAACUUUUAUCUGAGAAAUGCAAGUGCUUUAAUUAUCAGGCCCAGAAAGAGGCAUUAAAAUGAGACCACAGUCAUGUCCUACUCCCUCACAUUGAGCUGUGUAUUCAUUUCUUGAUACUGCUGUUGCCAGAAGUAGCUAUGAAUUUACCUCAUAAUGCCACACCAGACGCCAUACCCCACACCCUAUAGCUUAACAGUGUACGGCCCAUCACUAAGCAGUGUUAUUGCUAUGAACCAACUAAAAUUCCUGAGGAAUUGUAUCUGCCCCUUCCCUGCCCACCUUGUUUUGCCUUUAAAAAUCAGCUCAUAACUGCUGCUAAUUGCAGUGUAUAUUCAGGAUAACUUGAAUCUAUGCUCCAGAGUUGCAAUCCUGAAGUUUGUCUCAAAUAAAC
rnacentral:lncRNA from 10 species